rnacentral:sRNA from 1 species
CUCUGUUGGGCGCCGAGAUGGAGUGUGAGCGUGAAGAGGUGCUUCUAACAAUCCUGAAAUAGUGCCUCAAGUGGACUCAGAUUUGGAUAAUCCUCACUUUGGUGAUAUUGAAGCAAGACAGCAUGAAUACGAGGUUGAAGUGGAUGUCCACUUUUAGGAGGAUGGGUCCUUGGCUGGCAACAAUGAGGAAAGGACAUCACAAACCAUGGAUACAUCUUUGUAAAAUAAGACUUGUUUGUCAAAAUUUUUUAUUUUGGGUGGGUUUUUAUAGACUUUUGAGUUUCUUUUGAUAUCCCCUCACCAAAGAAAUAGCAAUUGAAUUUACUAAUGUACAGCCAAUCAAAAAAAUUAAUGAGAGAAAUUUGCUAUUUGAAGACUAUCAUUAAAACUAUAGUAGUUUAAGGGUAUACCAAUUUACACAUUUUUUAAAAUCUGUUUUAUAUUUAUUUAACAGACAUUAGCACCAUGUAAAUCUUUUGUCAGGUUCACUAGUUUCACCUGGGGUCUCUAGAUAGAAAAUUACAGUUUAACAUUAUUAAACAGCAAUCCCACUUGACAAUGAUGGUAUGAUACAAAGUUGUAACAAAUUAUUGACUGAAACAUUGUUUCAAUUAAAUUUUAAGCUAGAA